rnacentral:rRNA from 1 species
GAUAAACGCUGGCGGCGUGCUUAACACAUGCAAGUCGAACGAAGUUUUUCCUUCGGGAGAAACUUAGUGGCGGACGGGUGAGUAACGCGUGGGUAACCUGCCCUGUACAGGGGGACAACAGCUGGAAACGGCUGCUAAUACCGCAUAAGCACUUAGCACUGCAUUGUGCUUAGGGCAAAGGAGCAAUCCGGUAUAGGAUGGACCCGCGUCUGAUUAGCCAGUUGGCAGGGUAACGGCCUACCAAAGCGACGAUCAGUAGCCGAUCUGAGAGGAUGUACGGCCACAUUGGGACUGAGACACGGCCCAGACUCCUACGGGAGGCAGCAGUGGGGAAUAUUGCACAAUGGAGGAAACUCUGAUGCAGCGACGCCGCGUGAGUGAAGAAGUAUUUCGGUAUGUAAAGCUCUAUCAGCAGGGAAGAAAAUGACGGUACCUGACUAAGAAGCACCGGCUAAAUACGUG